AGAGUUUGAUCCUGGCUCAGGACGAACGCUGGCGGCGUGCUUAACACAUGCAAGUCGAACGAUGAAGUUCCUUCGGGAAUGGAUUAGUGGCGAACGGGUGAGGAACACGUGAGAAACCUGCCUUUCAUUUUGGGAUAACUCCGGGAAACCGGGGCUAAAACCGAAUACUCCGUCUCGGCGGCAUCGCUGAGCCGGGAAAAAAUUUUGAUGAAAGAUGGUCUCGCGGCCUAUCAGCUAGUUGGUGAGGUAAUGGCUCACCAAGGCGACGACGGGUAGCCGGCCUGAGAGGGCGACCGGCCACACUGGGACUGAGACACGGCCCAGACUCCUACGGGAGGCAGCAGUGGGGAAUAUUGGGCAAUGGGCGCAAGCCUGACCCAGCGACGCCGCGUGAGGGAUGAAGGCCUUCGGGUUGUAAACCUCUUUCAGUAGGGAAGAAGCGAAAGUGACGGUACCUAAAGAAGAAGCACCGGCUAACUAUGUGCCAGCAGCCGCGGUAAUACAUAGGGUGCAAGCGUUGUCCGGAAUUAUUGGGCGUAAAGAGCUCGUAGGUCGUUUGCCGCGUCGAUUGUGAAAAUCUGAGGCUCAACCUCAGACCUGCAGUCGAUACGGGCAAACUAGAGUGUGGUAGGGGAGACUGGAAUUCCUGGUGUAGCGGUGGAAUGCGCAGAUAUCAGGAGGAACACCAAUGGCGAAGGCAGGUCUCUGGGCCAUAACUGACACUGAGGAGCGAAAGCGCGGGAGCGAACAGGAUUAGAUACCCUGGUAGUCCGCGCCGUAAACGAUGGGCACUAGCUGUGAGAGCCUUCCACGGUCUCGCGACGCACAAACGCAUUAGUGCCCCGCCUGGGGAGUACGACCGCAAGAUUAAAACUCAAAGGAAUUGACGG
rnacentral:rRNA from 1 species